UACGGGGGAUGCGAGCGUUAUCCGGAUUUAUUGGGUUUAAAGGGCGCGUAGGCGGGACGCCAAGUCAGCGGUAAAAGACUGCAGCUAAACUGUAGCACGCCGUUGAAACUGGCGACCUUGAGACGAGACGAGGGAGGCGGAACAAGUGAAGUAGCGGUGAAAUGCUUAGAUAUCACUUGGAACCCCGAUAGUGAAGGCAGCUUCCCAGGCUCGAUCUGACGCUGAUGCGCGAGAGCGUGGGUAGCGAACAGG
rnacentral:rRNA from 1 species